UUGUUGCGUCCUUCAAAGCAAGUGUGUCUCUGCUUCUUUCUUCUAUUCUCUGUGACGAACCCUAGCUCUCAGGAUCUAAGGAACUUUGUUUACUUGUGAACAUUAUUAGAACCCAUCACGUAGGAUUUUUUUUCAAGGUUUCAGAGGUUAACACAAGCCUUUUUGUCAGCCAGCAUGUUAUCUCUUUCCAAGUUGUUUCAGAGAGUCCGAACUGAAUUGAGUGCUGCUGCUUCAACUGGGAGUACUACUAGGAAGAAACUCAUUGUUAAAUCAUUCCUCCCGCCAAGCACAGUUCAACAAGUGAUAUAUGACAUGGAGAAAUUUUUUGUUCCGACAGACUCAGUGACCCUACCCAAGGAGGUCCACAUGGAGAAAUCUUUUGUUCGGACAGACUCGAUGACCUUACGCGAGGAGGUCCAGUAUGCAAGUUCUGUUCUCGAACAUAUAUUGGAGGACAGAGAUGCAGUUACUCGAAAGGCACGUCAAGCAUUGGCUGAGCUUGACAAAGCAGCCGACGAGGAAAGAAUUAGUUUAAAUGCAUGGUUUCCUUGAAACAAUUAGUUGUUUGUGCUUGUUUAAGUUUAACCCUGCCACCGUGGAAUUUAUGUUUGAACUUUGUAGUAUGUGGUUGCUAGUACAAUUUAAAUUUGGUGUAUGUUUUGAAAAA